CACGUAGGGGGCGAGCGUUGUUCGGAAUCAUUGGGCGUAAAGGGCGUGCAGGCGGUCCUGCAAGUCCGGCGUGAAAGACCCCGGCCCAACCGGGGGGGCGCGCUGGAAACUGCAGGGCUUGAGUACAGGAGGGGAUGCCGGAAUUCCAGGUGUAGGGGUGAAAUCUGUAGAUAUCUGGAGGAACACCAAUGGCGAAGGCAGGCAUCUGGCCAUGUACUGACGCCGAGACGCGAAGGUGCGGGGAGCAAACAGGUUUAGAUACCCUGGUAGUCCGCACAGUAAACGAUGUGCACCAGGUGGCGGGGGGUCGACCCCCGGUACCGUAGCCAACGCAUUAAGUGCACCGCCUGGGGAGUACGGCCGCAAGGCUGAA
rnacentral:rRNA from 1 species